rnacentral:rRNA from 1 species
CCUACGGGAGGCAGCAGUGGGGAAUAUUGGACAAUGGGCGAAAGCCUGAUCCAGCCAUGCCGCGUGUGUGAAGAAGGCCUUCGGGUUGUAAAGCACUUUCAGUGGGGAAGAAAGCCUUGGGGCUAAUACCCUCGAGGAAGGACAUCACCCACAGAAGAAGCACCGGCUAACUCCGUGCCAGCAGCCGCGGUAAUACGGAGGGUGCGAGCGUUAAUCGGAAUUACUGGGCGUAAAGCGCGCGUAGGCGGUCUGAUAAGCCGGUUGUGAAAGCCCCGGGCUCAACCUGGGAACGGCAUCCGGAACUGUCAGGCUAGAGUGCAGGAGAGGAAGGUAGAAUUCCCGGUGUAGCGGUGAAAUGCGUAGAGAUCGGGAGGAAUACCAGUGGCGAAGGCGGCCUUCUGGACUGACACUGACGCUGAGGUGCGAAAGCGUGGGUAGCAAACAGGAUUAGAUACCCCAGUAGUA